GGGUUGUGAGGUUAAGCGACUAAGCGUACACGGUGGAUGCCCUGGCAGUCAGAGGCGAUGAAGGACGUGCUAAUCUGCGAAAAGCGUCGGUAAGGUGAUAUGAACCGUUACAGCCGGCGAUGUCCGAAUGGGGAAACCCAGUGUGAUUCGUCACACUAUCGUUAACUGAAUACAUAGGUUAACGAGGCGAACCGGGGGAACUGAAACAUCUAAGUACCCCGAGGAAAAGAAAUCAACCGAGAUUCCCCCAGUAGCGGCGAGCGAACGGGGAGCAGCCCAGAGUCUGAAUCAGCUUGUGUGUUAGUGGAACGGUCUGGAAAGUCCGACGGUACAGGGUGAUAGUCCCGUACACCAAAAUGCACAGGUUGUGAACUCGAAGAGUAGGGCGGGACACGUGGUAUCCUGUCUGAAUAUGGGGGGACCAUCCUCCAAGGCUAAAUACUCCUGACUGACCGAUAGUGAACCAGUACCGUGAGGGAAAGGCGAAAAGAACCCCGGCGAGGGGAGUGAAAAAGAACCUGAAACCGUGUACGUACAAGCAGUGGGAGCACCUUUAUGGUGUGACUGCGUACCUUUUGUAUAAUGGGUCAGCGACUUAUAUUCUGUAGCAAGGUUAACCGUAUAGGGGAGCCGCAGGGAAACCGAGUCUUAACUGGGCGUUAAGUUGCAGGGUAUAGACCCGAAACCCGGUGAUCUAGCCAUGGGCAGGUUGAAGGUUGGGUAACACUAACUGGAGGACCGAACCGACUAAUGUUGAAAAAUUAGCGGAUGACUUGUGGCUGGGGGUGAAAGGCCAAUCAAACCGGGAGAUAGCUGGUUCUCCCCGAAAGCUAUUUAGGUAGCGCCUCGUGAAUUCAUCUUCGGGGGUAGAGCACUGUUUCGGCUAGGGGGUCAUCCCGACUUACCAACCCGAUGCAAACUACGAAUACCGAAGAAUGUUAUCACGGGAGACACACGGCGGGUGCUAACGUCCGUCGUGAAGAGGGAAACAACCCAGACCGCCAGCUAAGGUCCCAAAGUCACAGUUAAGUGGGAAACGAUGUGGGAAGGCACAGACAGCCAGGAUGUUGGCUUAGAAGCAGCCAUCAUUUAAAGAAAGCGUAAUAGCUCACUGGUCGAGUCGGCCUGCGCGGAAGAUGUAACGGGGCUAAACUGUGCACCGAAGCUGCGGCAGCGACACUAUGUGUUGUUGGGUAGGGGAGCGUUCUGUAAGCCUGCGAAGGUGGCCUGUGAGGGUUGCUGGAGGUAUCAGAAGUGCGAAUGCUGACAUAAGUAACGAUAAUGCGGGUGAAAAGCCCGCACGCCGGAAGACCAAGGGUUCCUGUCCAACGUUAAUCGGGGCAGGGUGAGUCGACCCCUAAGGCGAGGCCGAAAGGCGUAGUCGAUGGGAAACAGGUUAAUAUUCCUGUACUUGGUGUUACUGCGAAGGGGGGACGGAGAAGGCUAUGUUAGCCGGGCGACGGUUGUCCCGGUUUAAGCAUGUAGGCGGAGGUUCCAGGUAAAUCCGGUACCUUUUAACGCUGAGGUGUGAUGACGAGGCACUACGGUGCUGAAGUAACAAAUGCCCUGCUUCCAGGAAAAGCCUCUAAGCAUCAGGUAACAUUGAAUCGUACCCCAAACCGACACAGGUGGUCAGGUAGAGAAUACCAAGGCGCUUGAGAGAACUCGGGUGAAGGAACUAGGCAAAAUGGUGCCGUAACUUCGGGAGAAGGCACGCUGAUAUGUAGGUGAAGUCCCUGCGGAUGGAGCUGAAAUCAGUCGAAGAUACCAGCUGGCUGCAACUGUUUAUUAAAAACACAGCACUGUGCAAACACGAAAGUGGACGUAUACGGUGUGACGCCUGCCCGGUGCCGGAAGGUUAAUUGAUGGGGUUAUCCGUAAGGAGAAGCUCUUGAUCGAAGCCCCGGUAAACGGCGGCCGUAACUAUAACGGUCCUAAGGUAGCGAAAUUCCUUGUCGGGUAAGUUCCGACCUGCACGAAUGGCGUAAUGAUGGCCAGGCUGUCUCCACCCGAGACUCAGUGAAAUUGAACUCGCUGUGAAGAUGCAGUGUACCCGCGGCAAGACGGAAAGACCCCGUGAACCUUUACUAUAGCUUGACACUGAACAUUGAGCCUUGAUGUGUAGGAUAGGUGGGAGGCUUUGAAGCGUGGACGCCAGUCUGCGUGGAGCCAACCUUGAAAUACCACCCUUUAAUGUUUGAUGUUCUAACGUUGGCCCCUGACCGGGGUUGCGGACAGUGUCUGGUGGGUAGUUUGACUGGGGCGGUCUCCUCCCAAAGAGUAACGGAGGAGCACGAAGGUUAGCUAAUCCUGGUCGGACAUCAGGAGGUUAGUGCAAUGGCAUAAGCUAGCUUGACUGCGAGCGUGACGGCGCGAGCAGGUGCGAAAGCAGGUCAUAGUGAUCCGGUGGUUCUGAAUGGAAGGGCCAUCGCUCAACGGAUAAAAGGUACUCCGGGGAUAACAGGCUGAUACCGCCCAAGAGUUCAUAUCGACGGCGGUGUUUGGCACCUCGAUGUCGGCUCAUCACAUCCUGGGGCUGAAGUAGGUCCCAAGGGUAUGGCUGUUCGCCAUUUAAAGUGGUACGCGAGCUGGGUUUAGAACGUCGUGAGACAGUUCGGUCCCUAUCUGCCGUGGGCGCUGGAGAAUUGAGGGGGGCUGCUCCUAGUACGAGAGGACCGGAGUGGACGCAUCACUGGUGUUCGGGUUGUCAUGCCAAUGGCAUUGCCCGGUAGCUAAAUGCGGAAGAGAUAAGUGCUGAAAGCAUCUAAGCACGAAACUUGCCCCGAGAUGAGUUCUCCCUGAGACUUUAAGUCUCCUGAAGGAACGUUAAAGACGAUGACGUUGAUAGGUCGGGUGUGUAAGCGUAGCGAUACGUUGAGCUAACCGAUACUAAUGAACCGUGAGGCUUAACCUUACAACGCCGAAG
rnacentral:rRNA from 1 species